rnacentral:rRNA from 1 species
CGCUGGCGGCAUGCCUUACACAUGCAAGUCGAACGGCAGCAUGGAAGAGCUUGCUCUUCUGAUGGCGAGUGGCGAACGGGUGAGUAAAGCAUCGGAACGUACCGUGUAGUGGGGGAUAACGUAGCGAAAGUUACGCUAAUACCGCAUACGCACUGAGGUGGAAAGCAGGGGAUCGAAAGACCUUGCGCUAUACGAGCGGCCGAUGUCAGAUUAGCUAGUUGGUAGGGUAAAGGCCUACCAAGGCGACGAUCUGUAGCGGGUCUGAGAGGAUGAUCCGCCACACUGGGACUGAGACACGGCCCAGACUCCUACGGGAGGCAGCAGUGGGGAAUUUUGGACAAUGGGCGAAAGCCUGAUCCAGCCAUGCCGCGUGAGUGAAGAAGGCCUUCGGGUUGUAAAGCUCUUUCGGCUGGGAAGAAAUCGCACAGGCUAAUACUCUGUGUGGAUGACGGUACCAGCACAAGAAGCACCGGCUAACUACGUG